rnacentral:rRNA from 1 species
UUCUUAAAGUUAGGGUUUUAAGUAAUUUCUGCUCAAUGAUGAUAUUUAAUAGCUGCGUGAGCACUAAGGUAGCAUAAUAAAUUGUUUAUUAAUUAUAAACUGGAAUGAAGGAAUUUAUGAGGGAAAAUUUUCUUAAAUUUUUAUUAUUGAAAUUAAAUUUUUAGUAAAAAUGCUAAAAUAUUAGUUGGGGACGAGAAGACCCUAUGAAGCUUUAUAUAAAUUGUAAUUUUUUUAUAAUAUUUUAUAUUUCAUUGGGGCAAUGUUUUAAGAUUAAAAGUUUAAAAUUAUUUUGUUUUACAAUAUAUUUAAUGGAGCCAAAAAUUUUGAUUUAAUGAAAAAGUUACUUUAGGGAUAACAGCAUAAUUUAAAUUGGAAAGUUCAAAUUGAUAAUUUAGUUUAUGACCUCGAUGUUGAAUUAAUAUUAUUUUCUGACGAAGGAGUUAGGAUAAUUAGUCUGUUCGACUAUUAAAAUAUUACG